AUGAGGAGCACUGGGGGCCCAAUCAAACGCAGGCAGGAUCAGGAAAUGGAACUGGAGGCAGGAAGCGCCCGUCCACAGGGGCGUCACAGUGAACAGCCUGGCCCGGUCCAAGUACUGCUGACGCCCAAUCAGGAGGAGGAAGAGGACCAGGCAGUGCCCAACCAGGAUGCUGCUCUGGGCCCGGACCCGCCCCCUCCACCCUAUCGGCCCGCUCCCCCCCGACCCCCACUCAGCCUCAGCAUCGCUCACCCUUGUGCCCCUUCCAGCCGAGGGGAGGAGGAGGAGGAGGAGGUCGGAUGUGUGGGGAGGAGAAGGGAGGAAGGUGAAGAUGGGAGGGAGGGGACCGGGGUGAGGCUGUGUGAGUUGCUGCAGGCAGGGGGGGUGAGUGUCAGACCUCUGGGGAAGCACCUAGCCAUCUCUCUGCCCUCGCUUCCUCUGCGUCUCUGGGAUACACACAUCACACACACCGCACACUCCACACACCUUGAGCCCACACACACACCCCCUACCCCUCUGCCCUCUACUCCUCCCCCAUCCUCCCCACUGGAAGCCUCUGGGCAAAGGAAACCUCUAGCGCCUCUCUGGCAGCCCCCCCGGCCCCAUUCCCCCACUGUCGCCACCCAGCACUGGCUGAGGCACGGGGACGCGUCCGACGGCGGCACACGUCAUUGGUCCUCCUGGAGUUUGGACCGCCCUGACGCCGUGGUGAUGCCAUACAGCACGCCCCCAGACUACUGCGCUCCCAUCAGGCCGCGGGCGUCCAGCCAGAACUACAGCUACAGUUGCCAGUACUCUCCAGGGCACCGCAGCUCCCAGCAUGCCCCAGGGCAACACAGUGACCCCCGCUAUGACCGCGAGGAGGCUGAGCUGUCUGAGCUUGACUCCCUUUUCCAGGCCAGUCUGCAGGCUGGAAAGACAGGCUGCAGCCCGUCAGAGAGGCUCAUAUCCAGGGUGGGAGGGCAGGGUCGCUCUAAGACCCCCAACGCAGACAUGGAGAGGAGUGUGUAUGGGGCUGAUGGCACCAGCACCCCCACCUACCUCAACAAGGUGACACCUACGUCUUUCCAACGCAGGCCCCCCCUCGCAUGUUCGCCCCUCACCGCUGUCCAACAUCUCACGGACGCGUUUUCUCCCUCUGCAGCCAGCGAUGGUGCGGGAUCUGCGUUUUGGGGCGGAGCCCGGCGACGGGGAAAACCUGCGGCGAAUUGGCCGCAGCCUGAGCGGCACAGUGGUGACCUCGCGCCGCGGCCGCCUCACUGCAACCCGCAGCUUUGAGCUGUCGGGCAAUGCUGGGAGUUUCUGGCUGUGUCUGACGGGGGUCAAGCUGUCCUCCGACCAGAGUCCUGCUCUGCUUCACUAACGUCUCGCCGUGUCAACACUGCCACGCGGGGGCGGCGGCGGCGGCGGUGCCGCGGUCCUUUUCGACGGCCUCGCCUGCGACGGACCUGGCAUCGGGAGGAUCAAAAACUCAGCUGCGAUCCCGUUCUUUCUCCUUCCCCCCCGUCAAACGACAUGCACACGCAUACACAUGCACGCACACACACGCACAUCGGCACUGACGUAGAGCCUCCCUCAGCGCCUGCAGCACCCUGCUUUGCCUCACCUUGCCCCCCCCCUUCAACCUACUAUUCUGUCUAUGCAGUCACUCUGACCCCCAACUACAACCUCAAGCUUCUCCCCUACUUCCCGGGACUGUUGUUUCUCGUCUCCCCCUGGGUUUCUCAGAGGGAAUCCCUGUGCAGUCAGCCUGGCGCGCAUGCCGCUUCCUGUGGCGUGGUCAGUUUUGCGUUGGUUUGGGCACCGGCCCGGGUCUGACUGGGACCCGAGCUCUCGGCUGACUCGCCCCUCCAUCCCGCGGGACCCUCCGCUCAGGGGGAGGCUCUUACCAAGUAGCCAGGCCCUCUUCCUCUUUCUUCACGGGCAUUUCCUGUUGGACGCACACGUAGCCGAACUGGGUCUGUUUUAAGAUGGACAGCCAUAUUCUUUUCUCUCUUUUGAUUUAGGGUUUGUCUGUUUGUUUUGUUUUUUUCUUCCUGUGUGCGCGCACAGUAGACCCGCCCGAGACCGAACUCUCUAUUAACUAAAAGUCAUGUACAGAAAAACUCAUGUAUGAAACCUGUAUGUUAAUUAAUAAGACCUUAUGGAAUGUUGAUAAUGAUAAUUAACAAUUAUUGAUAAACUUAAAGUGGUACUUCCUCAUGUCUGCAUUUCAAAUACGAGUGGAGUGCACUUCACAAGUGUCUAGCUGGAGUUACCACCCCUCCUACCCAAACCGCUCGCCGACCUAAUGACAGCUCUCCCGUUUCUACCGGGAGAUUAAACAAGAAAAGCGCUUCCUUUUUCUCUGCGUCUUUCCUCUCCUCCUUUCCUUUCUUGCUCUCUUUUAUUCUCGCUUGCUUUCUUCCCUCCGGACAGGUUAAAAAAAAAAACGGUAGCACCGGAAACAGGCCAGCAAGGGGGGGAAAGUCGAGAAGGAAUGGGAGAAUGUAGCUUUAGGGAAUCCCUUCUCUUGGGCUUUAUCAGUGAGCAGAGAGACGACUCAAGUGCGCUUUGUAAGAUUACUUGGCAGAAGAAGUGCACUUUCCGAAGGCUGUUUGACCAAGAAGCAGGUGGAGCGACGUCAGUGGUGUUUGUUUAACUUAAAAAGGCCUCAGGUGAACUUCAGUGGCACUUAUGAAUUCACACUUUAUUAUUUCUCUCACCCACUGAAACUGUUUUUUUGAGAUCUCAGCUGUGAAUAGAAAAAAAGAAAGAAGCUCAUCUUCAGCCUGAGACAGUGACAUGUCAAAUAUGAGUAUACUUUAUAUGAUAUGUAUGUAUUAGAGGUAUAUUUUCAGCCAGUGAGCUAUCUUCUUUAGAGAUGUCAACCAUUCCUCAGUUGUAUGAAGAGUUAUUAUACAGUAAUGAACAGAUUUAACUUAAUUCACCCCCCUUUACUGAGUAGCAUUCUGACAUGUGUAGAGUACAUUUAUUAUAUGCUUUAUUCUAUUAAAUAUCAUAAAAAAAUUACAACGUCCUUAUUAUAAAACUGGCCAAUGUAAAGUUCUUUAAGAAUUUACUGAUGUUGACCGAUCGUUGUGACUAAACCAAAGGUUGGCACUUAACUCAGAGAGCUUAUUUAACAUCGUCGUUUCUGGGUUUUUUUCCCCAUUUAGGUUCAGAUUUUGUUGAUGUAGGUUUGUUUGUCUGUUAGUUUGUUUGUUGUUUGGGGUUUUGGAUGUGGGAGAAUGUAGCCAAUUGUAGCGCAUGAGUCCGCUAUGCAAAUGAACCUUCCCUCCUGUAUCAGAGACGAGUCAGGAGGCAGACACACCCACCCACGGGCGCUCUCAUGGACUCUGGGCGGCGACGCGGGGGAGAGGGGGGAGAGAAUCUCAUGUUUAAUGCUGCUGGUGAACUUUGUUGUUCUGCAUCUACUGCUAUGUUUCAUCCAAUGGAAUGCAAAAAAGAGGGCAACACGGAGGGAGAGAGUGGGAUGGAGAAAGAGAGCGAAUGAAUGUAAACUAAAGGAUGAAAGUGUGAGAUUUUUUGGGUUUUUUUGGCGAAUGACAUGAGCCCGAGAGGGGUGGAGACUGGGCGAACGGCCGAAGGUGGUUUAUUGUUUGUGGGUGUGUGUAGAUUAAUGUGUGUCAGUUCUGGGGUGUUGUUGCUCGGGGAAAGAGGGAACCUGUAUUUUUGCAAUAAAGUUAUUACCAAUGCACUCCCACAGGGGGCGUAACCACCGUAACAUGUCUGUGUCCUCUUUUGCUUUUGGAAAGAUCAGGUGUAAAAAAAAAAACGUAACUCCCUGUCUGUUUCUGAAAUCUUCAAACAACUGGAAAACCAAAUCCACUGUAGGUAUCUGUAAUGUUUGUAUAAGUACCUGUAAUGUACUGGUAAAAGUAACUGUAAUGUUUGUUACAUAUCUGCAUCUAACCAAAGAAACAUUGGAAUAUAUUCUAAUUUCGUGAA
ensembl:lncRNA